rnacentral:lncRNA from 1 species
CUUGGAAGUGUGAACAUUUCAUCAGAGUUUGUUAAUCAUUUAUAGUUAUUUUUGGGGAAUUAUUUAUCCACUUAUCAAUGGAGGGUCUUCAUGGUUUUUUCAUGUGUUAUAUUUUACUAUGUUAAAUAUAUCAAUUCCCUGUCAUUUUGUUGCAGAUACUUUCUUUUCUUAAGCAAUUCAGUGCUCUGAGUCAUAACCAUGUGGAAUAAUGGGCUCCUGGGAACAGAAGCAACAGCUGCGUGGAGGGGUAUGAGCUUUCCUGUGUUCGUCCUGCUGCUUCCUUUUCCUUCUCUUCUCCAUCAGUUCCAGAGGCUGGAAAGUCUGGGAUCAAGGUGCCAGCAGACAUGGUGUCUGGUGAAAGCCUGCUUCGUCAUAGAUAGCUGUCUUCUGACUGUAACUUCUCACGGCAGAAGAGGUGAGAGAUCUCUCUGGGGUCUCUUCUAAGAGUUCUAUUCAUGAGAACCCUAUCCUCAUGAUCUAAUCACCUUCCAAAGUCCCCACCUCCUAAUACUAUCACCUUUUGGGUUAGGAUUUCAACACAUGAAUUUUGAGGGGACAUAAACAUUCAGACUAUAUCAUACAUUCACAUAAAAAUCUUUGUGUUGCCGGGCAUGGUGGCUUAUGCCUAUAACUCCAGCACUUUGCGAGGCCGAGGCGGAAGGAUCGCUUGAGCCCAGGAGUUUGAGACCAGCCUGGACAACAAGUUGAAACCCUGUCUCUACAAAAAAUACAAAAAUUAGCAGGUCAUUGUGGUAUGUGCCUGUUGUCCCAGUUACUCAGGAGGUUGAGGCGGGAGGAUCACUUGAGCCCAGUGAGGUCGAGGCUGCAGUGAGCCAUGAUCGCAGCAGUGCUUUCCAGCCUGGGCAACAGAGUGAAGUCCUGUUGUGAAAAAAAUAUCUUUGUGUGGGAAUAUGUUAUCAUUUCUGUUGGGUAUAUAUAGGACAGGCUUCUUGAGUGUGUAAUGUGUGCAUUACACCAGAGCUCAACUCAGAAAGACCCUGUGCUUGGUUUGACUGCCUUGAAAUUCUCAGUAAUUGUUGAAUAAGGAGCCCCUCAUUUUCAUUUUAUACUGGGCACACAAAUUAUACAGCCAGUCCCGG